UACGGGGGGUGCAAGCGUUGUUCGGAAUUAUUGGGCGUAAAGAGCGUGUAGGCGGCUUGAUUAGUCAGAUGUGAAAGCCCUGGGCUUAACCCAGGAAGUGCAUUUGAAACUGUCAGGCUUGAGUAAGGGCGAGGAAAGUGGAAUUCCUGGUGUAGAGGUGAAAUUCGUAGAUAUCAGGAGGAACACCGGUGGCGAAGGCGACUUUCUGGCCCUAUACUGACGCUGAGACGCGAGAGCGUGGGUAGCAAACAGGAUUAGAUGCCCUGGUAGUCCACGCGGUAAACGAUGUUCACUAGGUGUUGGGGGUAUUGACCCUCUCAGUGCCGCAGCUAACGCAAUAAGUGAACCGCCUGGGGAGUACGGUCGCAAGAUUAAA
rnacentral:rRNA from 1 species